rnacentral:lncRNA from 1 species
GAGGGAGGAGAACCAAGCUGACCUCGGUCUCCUCUGUGCUUGUGACGUGGCAGAGGCCGUGCUACGGGGCCAGGGCCACCGACCGCCAUGUGUGUGGAACCUCCUGAGCCUCGGAGGGUCUCGGCUCUCGGGAGAAGAGAGAAGGAAGUCUGCAGAAGCCAGAAAGCGAGGCCCGUGUUUUUGGGGUGCCCAGCAGACUGGUGACACAGGGUGGUCACAAAAGAGCCCAGCCGACCCUCUGGAGUCCCUCCCACCCACCCAAGUGUCCUCUGG